AUGGCAACGAUAUUGUUGCAGUUACAGAGAGUCAUAAGAAAUAGAAGUGUUAAUUUGAUCUCCAUACUCCCACAUUCGUCAUCUUACUCUUCUUCUAGAUCUUUCUCCAAAUCAUCAUCCUACAAUGUCAAGGUUGGAAUUCCGAAAUUUCUAAACGGAAUUGGAAGUGGAGUCGAAUCUCAUGUCGGCAAGCUCGAUUCAGAAAUAGGUUUCCAUAAACUUCUUAUUACUAGAACACUCAAACUCAAGAAACUUGGUAUUCCUUGCUAG